GAUGAACGCUAGCGGCAGGCUUAAUAUAUGCAAGUUGAGGGGCAGCAUGAUAUACGCGAGUAUAUUGAUGGCGACCGGCGGACGGGUGAGUAAUAGGUAGGAGACCUACCUCAUACAGGGGGAUAGCAUAGAGAAAUCUGUGGUAAUACCCCAUGAGGUUAUAUGAAUAGAGGCAUAUAAUCAAAGCAUAAGCGAUUAUGCGGUAUGAGAGGGGCCUACUGACCAUUAGCUAGUUGGUGAGGUAAGGGCUCACCAAGGCGAAGAUGGUUAGGGGUUUUGAGAGAGAGACCCCCCACAUUGGAACUGAGAGACGGUCCAGACUCCUACGGGAGGCAGCAGUAGGGAAUAUUGGGCAAUGGGCGAAAGCCUGACCCAGCCAUGCCGCGUGAAGGAAGACGGCCUUAGGGUUGUAAACUUCUUUACUACGCGAAUAGAGGUUAGUACGAGAUACUAAUAGGAAGGUAGUGUAGUAAAAGCAACCGGCUAACUCCGUG
rnacentral:rRNA from 1 species